rnacentral:lncRNA from 1 species
CGGGUUUGCUGACUGACUACAAGAGAAUUUGCUGUGCACACAAAAGUCACAGCUUGUCAUAUCUGCUGCCAAACCCUGUUACAUUUCCUUUGGGACUCCAGCUCUGUGCCCAGCAGCUCCAAGGCACGUGUGCUGUGGUCCCAGCAGAGAUUAUGGUACUUACCUGAGGAAUGGCGCCCUGGCAUCAGAGCUGACAUUCUGCUACUUACUGUAAGGUCCAAGCAGCAAGUGUGGG